UUACUACUCCUUCCGAUCCAUACUGUACUUGACUUAGAUUUGUCUAGAUACGGAUGCAUCUAGACACGUUUUAGUGCUAGAUAUAUCCGUAUCUAGACAAAUCUAAUAAGGCAAGUAAUAUGGAUAGGAGGGAGUAUUAG
rnacentral:pre_miRNA from 1 species